rnacentral:rRNA from 1 species
AUUGAACGCUGGCGGCAUGCCUUACACAUGCAAGUCGAACGGCAGCACGGGAGCAAUCCUGGUGGCGAGUGGCGAACGGGUGAGUAAAGUAUCGGAACGUGCCCAGUCGUGGGGGAUAACGUAGCGAAAGUUACGCUAAUACCGCAUACGAUCUAUGGAUGAAAGCGGGGGAUCGCAAGACCUCGCGCGAUUGGAGCGGCCGAUAUCAGAUUAGGUAGUUGGUGGGGUAAAGGCCCACCAAGCCGACGAUCUUUAGCUGGUAUGAGAGGACGACCAGCCACACUGGGACUGAGACACGGCCCAGACUCCUACGGGAGGCAGCAGUGGGGAAUUUUGGACAAUGGGCGAAAGCCUGAUCCAGCCAUGCCGCGUGCAGGAUGAAGGCCUUCGGGUUGUAAACUGCUUUUGUACGGAACGAAAAGGACUGCCCUAAUACGGUGGUCCCAUGACGGUACCGUAAGAAUAAGCACCGGCUAACUACGUGCCAGCAGCCGCGGUAA